CCUACGGGUGGCAGCAGUGAGGAAUAUUGGUCAAUGUGCGCUAGCCUGAACCAGCCCAGUAGCGUGAAGGAUGACUGCCCUAUGGGUUGUGAACUUCUUUUAUAGGGGAAUAAAGUGCAGUAUGUAUACUGCUUUGCAUGUACCUUAUGAAUAAGGAUCGGCUAACUCCGUGCCAGCAGCCGCGGUAAUACGGAGGACACGUGCGUUAUCCGGAUUUAUUGGGUUUAAAGGGAGCGUAGGCGGGUUGGUAAGUCAGUUGUGAAAGUUUGCGGAUCAACCGUAAAAUUGCAGUUGAUACUGGCAUCCUUGAGUACAGUAGAGGUAGGCGGAAUUCGUGGUGUAGCGGUGAAAUGCUUAGAUAUCACGAAGAACUCCGAUUGCGAAGGCAGCCUGAUGGACUGUAACUGACGCUGAUGCUCGAAAGUGUGGGUAGCAAACAGGAUUAGAGACCCUGGUAGUC
rnacentral:rRNA from 1 species